rnacentral:sRNA from 1 species
AUGGGGCAGUGGUUCUGUCGGAACCGCGACUCCGCGCUUUGCGUUAGUUGGCUAAUAUAUGGGUCCCGAAAAGGAAGAGCAUGAAUCCGAAAGAAUGCGGCGUGUUUUGACGAACGCAUUUACAGCGGCAUGCGACGGUUCAUACUCGGGU